GAUUUUUGGGUUUAUCGAUAUAUAAUUCAUACUUCUGUACUUUUCCUUGGAUUGCUUUAUGAAUAUUAAUGUCGUUAGUAAUUUUCUUUUGUAAUAUCUAUUUUUCUUCCGCUUGGUAGAAACACGGAUUAUAGGGUAUAAAGUCCUUAAGUCUGGUUUGUAGGCCUACUUUAGGUUCUAAUUAAUUUCAUUGAUUCGUGUUCUUCGUCAAGCAGUCUUCAAGGUAUGCCCUUCAAUCCUAUUUAUUUUCUGAUUUAAACUGAUGAAUUUGAAGUCUUGAAUGAACGGAUUUGGUUUAGUUUUACUAUCGGUCGAUUCAAUCUUGGUUGUCGGUUUUCGUCUUUCUUGAAAUAUGUCAAUGUUGAAUUAUAGAUCUUGUUUUAUCAUUAGAUUUUCAGAGAGAGUUGAAGUAUAUUAGAUAUAGGAUUUAGUAAAAGGAAUUGGAAAAAAUUAUGAGCUAAAGCACGACUAUAGUUCAAUAUACUUGUUUUUGGCCUUUGAUUUAUUAUUGUUUGAAUUGUAUUGUUAUGUUGUGGGGAUUUUAGUUAUGAUAAUCUUGAUAAGAGAGAAGUUCAACUUAUUAGUAACUUGGUUCUUAUACUCUAGCAAUUCAGGAUUAUGUUUCAAAUACAUGUACUGGAAAAUUUGUAAUUUUGUUUGGAGUUAAUGUCUUUUUUACUUGUUUUUGGGUUAAAAGUUGGUUAAGUAAUUUUUUCUUUGGGAGCUAGAAACUGAAGUUGAUUCAUAUAAGGCCGACUUUGCUACUGUUAAUAUGUAAACUGCAUGAUGACAUACACAUAUGAAACAUUUGUAUUAGAUAAUGAUGCAGCAAAAGUUCAUAGUGUAACCUGCAUAUGGAAGACAAAAAUGUAGCAAGCUCUUCAUCAGAAACAUAGAAGAGGCUAAGCCAAUCUUUCCACUCUAGAGCGUUCUCUGCUUGAGAAGAAAAGAUUGUCCCAUAACUUACAAGUUGCUUUCUUUAUAUUGUCCAACACUAUCAUUUGUAUCCCAGGAUUGUUAAUCUAAAAGAAACCUUCUUUUCUCUACUGCAUUGCAUAUCAUAUCUAGCACCACUUGAUCAUUUGGGUUUGACACGUCGAUGACAGGAAUGGACUCCUUAGUUAGUACAGUGCUGGUAGAGAUAUGUUCUCGAGGAGGUUGAACAAAUAUAUUGCUGAGAAAGCAUCAUCAAUGGAUAUAAUGAACCAAUUGAACAGAAAGAACAGUCAUCAUAUCGGUUCACAUCCUUACUCAUACGUAGUGAAAGAGAUGAUAAAGGAUGAGAUGCUUGUAAAAAAAUAUGAAUAUCUUGUAAAGAAGGUAAAUGAUCACUAGCUUCCCGAAGAUAUCCCUUUGGAGGAAUACCUAUAGAUAAUCCUAAGGUUGGACUUAAUAUCAUGAUGUCCGUUCUAAGUGCAAAGCCCGGACAUCAAAUUCGUAGGCUGAAAGAUGGUUACCUUUGAGACAUUAAGACAUCUUCCAAUGUACGCAAUAUGGAGGAGUUAGAAGCAGAAUGUGCUGCUCGAGUGAAUAUGGAGCAAAGGAUACAUAACAAGCUAAAGGUUGUUAAGCAACUAUUCAAUUCUAUUCUGUAGUCUUGGCAUCACUCUAUGCAUCAGUUACGUUGUAAAGUUCCUGGCUUCGUGGUACAUCAUUUACACUAUUGUCAAUAGAGAUUAACAUCAUUGAGAAAAAAUGAUGCUAUUCAUGAGGACAAAGAGAACAACAUUGGAGAGGAUCAGUUGAAUAUCUAAUUUACGAGGAUGAACAGUUAUGUUUUUUAGAUGCAUAAUAAUAGAUACAAAGAAUGUUUUAUGUCCAGGUGUAACCAUACUUACUCAAUGAUUUUUAUUUAUAUUUUCUUAAAAUAUUUUGGAUUCAA